rnacentral:rRNA from 1 species
GCACAAGCAGCGGAGCGUGUGGUUUAAUUCAUUGCUACACGAAGAACCUUACCUGGGUUUGACAUAUAAGUUGUAGGGAACUGAAAAGGGACCGACCCUUCGGGGAGCUUAUACAGGUGUUGCAUGGCUGUCGUCAGCUCGUGUCGUGAGAUGUUCGGUUAAGUCCGCUAACGAGCGCAACCCUCGCCGUAUGUUACAAGUGUCAUACGGGACUGCCGGUAAAAAGCCGGAGGAGGGUGAGGAUAAUGUCAAGUCAGCAUGACCUUUAUAUCCAGGGCUACACACACGCUACAAUGGUCUGUACAAUUGGUUGCCAAGCCGCGAGGCGGAGCCAAUCCGUAAAGCAGGCCUCAGUUCAGAUUGCAGUCUGCAACUCGACUGCAUGAAGCCGGAGUUGCUAGUAACCGCAGGUCAGCAAUACUGCGGUGAAUACGUUCCCGGGUCUU